rnacentral:tRNA from 1 species
GCGUGUGUAGCUCAGCUGGAUAGAGUACCUGGCUACGAACCAGGCGGUCAGAGGUUCGAAUCCUCUCGGGCGCGCCA